CUUUAUUUGAGAGUUUGAUCCUGGCUCAGGAUGAACGCUGGCGGCGUGCCUAAUACAUGCAAGUCGAGCGAAUGGAUUAAGAGCUUGCUCUUAUGAAGUUAGCGGCGGACGGGGGAGUAACACGUGGG
rnacentral:rRNA from 1 species